rnacentral:rRNA from 1 species
UACGUAGGGUCCGAGCGUUGUCCGGAAUUACUGGGCGUAAAGAGCUCGUAAGUGGUUUGUCGCGUUGUUCGUGAAAACUCACAGCUCAACUGUGGGCGUGCGGGCGAUACGGGCAGACUUGAGUACUGCAGGGGAGACUGGAAUUCCUGGUGUAGCGGUGGAAUGCGCAGAUAUCAGGAGGAACACCCGGUGGCGAAGGCGGGUCUCUG